UAUAUCUCACUCACUAGGAUUUAAUUAUAACUAAAAGCUACCAAAAGUAAUGCAAAGGAAAAACUCUCAUAAACUGCUGCAUUUAUUUGCAUGGUUUGGCUCCACUUGUCCCCUUAUAGGUAAGAGUCUAUGCAAAUUAAGACACAGUUCUUCUGACUGAUCACCUUUAUCCUGUGAAGAAAUAUUGCUAUCCUGAUAGGCGUGGUCUCUUCCAGGAUGACCCCGUCCACACACCAAUGGGAUGCGAUGAAUCACUGAAUAGUUUCAUGACUCACCAAUAAACACCAACUGAGGAAAUACUGUGUUCAUUUCUCCAGUACAGUUCCAGAGACUUACAGAAGCUGUUCUGGAGGCUCAUGGUAGCAAAACAUCAGUGUUUGAGACACUUUCUAGGAUCACCGUGAUACAGAGUUUCCAUUAUACUGUUGUUUUGUUUACAUUCUUUAGAGUCAUGAACAUCAAAUGUGGUGUGCUGUUGUAUUGUGUAGACUUUUCUAACAGCAAGGUGGUCAAGGAAAGCAGGAACAUAAGUUCCAGCUGGUCUUGCCACGCAUCAGCCAAGUGUGCAGAUUACAAGCUCUGGGAAAGGAGGAGAGUCCUACUGGGAAAAUCAACUCUGCUUUAAAAUGCCUCAUAAAUUGUGCAAGCCAGUGCUCUCUGGGUAGACUCCAGAUCCACCUCAACCCUGAACAGGAUAAAGCAGUUACUGAAAAUGAUGAAUGAAUUUAUGUUGAGCUCAACACUUAUGAGGAAAUAGGCUUUUAGUUACAAGGAAGCGAUUACACAUAAUUCCUCUUU